UACGAAGGGGGCUAGCGUUGCUCGGAAUCACUGGGCGUAAAGGGUGCGUAGGCGGGUCUUUAAGUCAGAGGUGAAAGCCUGGAGCUCAACUCCAGAACUGCCUUUGAUACUGAGGAUCUCGAGUUCGGGAGAGGUGAGUGGAACUGCGAGUGUAGAGGUGAAAUUCGUAGAUAUUCGCAAGAACACCAGUGGCGAAGGCGGCUCACUGGCCCGAUACUGACGCUGAGGCACGAAAGCGUGGGGAGCAAACAGG
rnacentral:rRNA from 1 species